rnacentral:lncRNA from 1 species
AGAUGCUGUGGUGCACAGACACUGGUUUGUACCCUAACAUGCAGAUCAGUCUUGUGUCUCUUCUCCGGCGACGUUGCUGGCAGCCUUCAAGCCCAUCUUAAACUCUGUUUCUGUGCAGGAGCCCAGCAUGUUUCUCAGGUCUGUGCUUCACAUGCUGCAGUUUGUGUCAUUAGAUCUGCAGAGCACAGCAAGAGGCCUUGGUUUCUCAUACACCUGACCUGUUGGUGCCCACAUUACUUUCUAGACAACUGCCGUCACUGGGUGGCAUCAUCAGCCAUUUGGGCCCUUCAGCUGGUUAUGGCAAGUGUUUCUAGAAACACGCCACUUACCAACGCUAAUCACGCUUUCCAUUUAAAUCAACCAGCAACUAACACAUUUCUCCAUUAUUACAGUACAUCUGAUACUGGUAGAAAGAAUUUGUACCAACACAGAAUAAAUCUCAGCCUCUUUACUUUUGCAAAGAUGAGACCACACUGACUCCCCUCUAACCAUCUUCCAUUAAUAAUUGUCUAUUAACUAUGAUUUUGUAUGUAGAUCAAGCGUUUAUUCACUCUGAAAAUGUUUAAAAAUCACACGUUCACACUUACACUGGUUUGGCCUAUACUAUUAUCAUAAGGUGCUGGACCAGCCUCUUGUGGACAUAAUCAAAACCUUUAACUUCAUGAAGAGUCCAGCAGAGGGAGCCUACAUCACUGUCUACUGCACAGACGCUCUUGAUGUAGAGUUAAUGGACUUUCUUCCCUUUUCCCAUUACCUCCCCUCCUACUUUCCCCUCUUUUAUCAGUAUCAGUGUAUGUGGACUGUUCGGCUGGCAUCGUGUCCUUCUACAGCAGCCAGGGCCCAGACUGGGCACAGUGUGGAGACCGAGCAGCCGAGGUAGCAGCUUUCCAAUGCACUACCUGUGACUCAGUAGACGGACAUUGGACACGGACAGACAACGUGUGCAGCUCUCCAGGUGGAGAUGUAGGAGAGCUGGGUUCUGGUCAACCAUAAAGUAUCCCUACCAUUAACUGGACAAUAGGGGGAGACAGAAACCACUCUAUUACACUCCUCUCCAUUCUCUCAGUAGCCUACAGUAUACUGUAGAAAAGCCCGUUCUUUUAGCGUCAGAGGAGCAGAGCCCCAUAGACCUGUGGAGCCCUCACUGCUGACAUUCUCCUGCAGGAGGAGGAAAACCUCAUAUCUCUUUUAUAUAUUUUUUAUAUAAUAUAUUUUAUAUAUUAUUAUAUGUUCAAAUAAAUGUAGGAGCAUGUGACA